CCCCACCAAAAUAACAGGCAGGCACAGCAGCUGCAGUAUUCCUAGCAACAGCUGGUAGAGCGAGGAAUGCAGGAUUCCGGUGGAUGUGCAGGAAAAACAGUAAACACCCACCAGUUGUGCUGUGAAUUAAACAGAUUCCUGCAUAUACUGGGAACAUCUGGACAUCAGUGCUGGGAUUCGGUUAGUUGUUGGUUUAUGGGGCAGUUAAAUAUACCUUUUACUUGUCCUUUGAGGCUGUUUACUAUUGGUACAACAUUUUCCUGUUAGAAGGAAAAGCAAUUUCGGAAAAAUUAGUGCUGCUUUAAAUCUAUCACUGAUCUCUUUUUUUUUGCCUAAAUAUGAUUGAAUCGCCGUAAGCCCUGUAAACUUCAUAACGACAUUCAGUAAUGGAAAACGUGACGUAAAUAUUUUUGCAUUAAAACUUAGGAAAUCUUUGAACGCCUCUGAGAAUGUCUUAUUUGUUUUAGUAAUUUAAUCUCCCUAGAGUAACGUACACUACGUUUUAUUCCGGUUUCCUUUUUCUAAACGGUAUGAUAACGUAAUCAUCUUGAUGCAAAACUUCGCCGAGCCCAUCUCAGCGGCACCGAAGACUGUAGAUGGUGGAGUUUGCAGAUGAGGGUGAAGGACUGUAAGGCUAUGUGACGUUAUUGUCGAGCACCGCAAGGGGUUGGAUUAGCAUGUCCCGUCGAUCUAUUUUAUUGCCUUAGAUGAUGCGGUGUAAGGCAGCGCCUGGUAAUUACUCUAAUUUAGCAAAUUUUUAUGCCUCAUUUGUAAUCUAAUUGAAGAAAUAUGCCUACAGUGGCACGCAAAACAGGAUACAAAUUGUUUAUGCAUCGUGAUCCUCAUAUCUGAAAGUUUUGAGCACUUUAUUGCAGACUGAGAGAACAUUUUUCUGAAACAUUUGUGCAAUGAAAGUCCAUUACAAUGACUACAUGGAGAGUGACAUCUGUUGUGUAAAAAAAAUCACUUUAAUUGGCCGGUAGCAUUGUGGGAAAAUCUCCGUUCAAAAUGUUAUUAGCCUGAAUGCUGAGAUAAAAACAAGAUACAGUGAAGGUCAAUAGCGUUCUGUGUGCUUCACCUGUCUGUGGACAGGAACAUGUAUGAUAGGGUUAGGCCAAUCUGCAGUGGUCAUGUGCUCCUGUGUCUACAGCUGAAUGAAAGUGAUCAGCUUCUCCAGCAGUUACUGAGUCUUACACAGUGAUCUGGCACGUCCUUCUGUUCAUCCUGUUAGAAGGCCUGUCUGGGACAGCCCUGUGAAGAUAUUUGGACAGAAAGUCCAGUUGGGAGAACCCUAUGAAGUUAGGUUGACAGACAGCCUGUCUGGGACAGCCCUGUGAAGAUAUUUGGACAGAAGGUCCAGUUGGGAGAACCCUAUGAAGUUAGGUUGACAGACAGCCUGUCUGGGACAGCCCUGUGAAGAUAUUUGGACAGAAGGUCUAGUUGGGAGGACCCUAUGAUGCCAGUAGGCCAAAUGGCCUGGUUCAGGCAGCUGUGUGGCACAGAAGGCAGGCUUGGGACAGCGCUUUGAUGGUGCAUCUCCGAUACAGCAAAUAGGUCAGGUCCUUCAAGCAGCCUAACUGCCGCAUCCAAAGGAAUGUUUAUAUGGAACUUACAUUUUUAAAAGAAUUGGAGUGUCUUGAACGACUCUUGUCAGAGCUCAGUUCAUAUCAGGCAAGGGUGAAUUUGAGGACCUUCUUGUAGAGGAGCAGUCUCACAUUCCUGCAGAUACUCUUCUUUUCUGACUUCCCAUUUGUUAAUUGAACUCAGAACCUCACAGUCGUACUCUUUGAUAUGAUUUGGCUUCGAUUUUUUUCCGCAUUAAUUUUUAAUCGUUUUUUUUUAUGGCAGGCUAUGUUCUUUUUAUAAACUGGAAUGCCUUUGAUUUGGCUGGAUUCAUUUCUGGCUCGGUGGGCAACCAUGGUACCGCUAAGAAUCUGAAAGUGCAGUGUGCCAGCGUCCCUCAAACAUUUUCUGGGUUCUGUUCCUCCUUUCUGUUUUGGAUUUUUGACAUUCCUGCUGUUUGCAUCUUUAUUUUCCCUACACAGAUAUAAAAAAAUAGCUAAAAUCUGCCAUUGGACACCUAAUGAGGUCAACCUUUCCCCUUGGGAUAAACAAAACUAUCUAUCUAUCUAUCUAUCUAUCUAUCUAUCUAUCUAUCUAUCUAUCUAUCUAUCUAUCUAUCUAUCUAUCUAUCUGCCUGCCUGCCUGCCUGCCU